rnacentral:rRNA from 1 species
UGAUCGCUGCUAGCUUGUACGUGGGCGAACCCCGGCCUUGCGGCAAGCUGCGUUCCUCAGUCUGGUCCGGCACAUAUGACAAGAGGCUAUAACACACCCGAGGGUGCCACCUUCCUCCUGCCUUUUUCUACCGGAUCAAACUGAUGUUGACCCGUGAAAGGCAAAUACACCGCCAGAGACGGCUGAAUACCUUUCACACGACUGACUUCAAUCGUUUCCCUUUUAACAAUUUCACGUGCUGUUUAACUCUCUUUCCAAAGUGCUUUUCAUCUUUCCCUCACGGUACUUGUUCGCUAUCGGUCUCUCGCCAAUAUUUAGCCUUAGAUGGAAUUUACCACCCAUUUAGAGCUGCAUUCCCAAACAACUCGACUCAUUGAGAACGUAUCACAGAGCACCGGUUGUCGCGUCAAGUACGGGAUUGUCACCCUCUUUGAUACUCUAUUCCAAGAGACUUGGACGCGGUCCGGCGCGGAAAACGCCUCUAUAGAUUACAACUCGGACGCCUGAAAGACGCCAGAUUUUAAAUUUGAGCUCAUCCCGGUUCACUCGCCGUUACUAAGGGAAUCCUAGUUAGUUUCUUUUCCUCCGCUAUUGAAAUUUCAAAA